rnacentral:misc_RNA from 1 species
AACGAGGCCGACCUGCGGCUGAGUUACCUGCGGAAGGAUCAUUAAUAAAUGUUACUUCGGUAACUUAAUUAAUCCCUAACACCUGUGCAUCUUGUCGCUUCGGCGUCAUUUUAUAAACAUCAGUGUAAUGAAUGUAACGUAUUAUAACAAAUACAACUUUUAGCAACGGAUCU